AUUCCUGAGAACUCUAGGCUGUUUAUCUCCCUGCUCUCAGGGCUGACAAGGCCAUGCAGAAUUCCCAUGUGAAGACAGAACAUAACCUCCAGGUCCAAGUUCUGCAGGUGGAAAGGAAGGUGCACCAGGAGGCUUGUCUUGGAAGAGAUUCCAGACCCUGUCAAACUGACAGGAACCAUCACACUUCUCUCGAUUACAAUUAAUGGAUUCUGCAUCAUCUCAAAUAUGUGGGUUUUCCAGUUGACAGCCUCCUACAACUGCGUAAAUUGCAUACGAAAGUUAUGUCUGUAACACUGUUGUAAAGCAGGUCUUCAUGAAAGAUAUCCAAAACUUGAUCUUCACUGAAAAACAAGACUGAAGGCAAGCAGAAGGUUGUUUUGGCAAAGCAUACUGAACUGAUAAAGAACUAAUUAGUGUAUUUGAGUUCAGGCCUUGGGACAUUUUGUCCAAAUGCUUUCUUUUUAAUUCAUAAUUUAAAAUGUACCUCUCUCUUUUACUUUGAAACGCAUGCUUCCUUUGGAGUAAAUUCUGAUGGUAUAUAAAGGAGUGAGUUAUAUCUAAAUGAUUUAAAUGUGUUCACCAUGAAUUGCCAGUAACUGUUUUACUCUCCUGACAUUAUAAAAUCUGUCAAAUAUAAUUCAGGAAGAUGUCAAGCAUUAAACAGAGAUAUGACAGCUUUAACCUGGGUUGACUUCAAAAGUACCUUACUAUCCCUCCCUUGCUUGAGAGUUUUUGUAACAUAAAUCAAAGCACAGCACUUAUAAAAUACAUUUGUCUCAUUUA